CUUAUUACCAAUGAUAAGUUUUCAAAAGGUCGGACCCAAUCAAAUUUAGUUCCUAACUGUAUUAAUUCUUAUUUUUUAUUGAUUUUAAAAUAUUUAUUUUUUUAUAGGAGUUGCAAAAAUAAAGAAAUAAAUUUUGGACAUAGGAGGAAAAAUAAUAAUAAUAAUAAUUAAAAAAAAAAAAAAAAGGAAGCAAAGAGUUCGUGAAAAGAGGUGCUGCACACAUUUGAAGGCUGGCUUGGACGCUCACGGCAAAAAGAAAAGGAAACGGAAAAGGUAAAGAUAAAUACGAAAAGAAAGAAAGAAAAGAAGAUGUGUACGAGAAAGGAAACUAGUUUUUCAACUCUAUAAAUAAACAAGAACCAGACUGGACAAGGGCACGCCGAACGGUGAAGAGAAAUACCUAGCGUCGCAAAGCUUUUUGGACAGAGAGAAAAUUGGAGUUGGAGAGGACAUACCAUCUGGAGAGACUUGGCCUUUAGUCUGUCCCACGACCCACCUCACUAUGAAUUCGGAUUAUUUUUGGGGGCUUGGCCCGUCUCCAAUAUCAACGGGAUAAUCAUCUUUAGAAUGCAGGAUAUUUGGAAACUUGGAAAAGUGAAGAUGACCUACCUUGUAGUUACUAGUUGUGGUAGUUUAACUUAAAAUUGCUUAAUUAUGAUAUUUUUGUAGCUUUUUUUAUUUGGUUGUGGUGUGGUUGUGGAAAAUGACUAUGUGGUGGAUUGUCAUUGUGGACUAUGUAGUGGUUUAGUUAAUGUGGACCAAUGGGAGGGAGUUGAUAUAUGUGAAGGGUAGUCAAAGUUGUCAAGCUGAUUUGUUGUUGGACUCUUUACCCUUGGAGAUGAUGGCUGGCAAAUGGGUCUAUUGGCUAAUGGUCCUUUUGAUCAUUUGUUAUAUUCAACUACAAAUAGUGUGUUAGUAUGCAUUGUCAUAUUAUGUUGUAUAAUUGUGUUCUAAUUGUUAUGAUUGAUGGCUAUGCACUAAUGAGUUAGUACUCUCUAUUAGAUAAUUGAUGGAUUUAGAUUAUGUGUUAUAAUUAGAUUAUGGGUUUAGAAUAUCGUAAUUGGGCUCCAACCUUAUUAGGAAGUAUCAACUUUCGACUCUAGCUUCGAUGCUUUGGAAUCGAGUCGGAGUGGGCUCCAUCAGAAUCGAAGCCCAACCCUAAUAUACUUCCCAUUAAUUUGGUAUGUUUUACUUCUCUCAUCCAUGACUAAGUGGGGCUAUUCGAAGUCAGUUUGAUUAAAAUUAAACUUGACUAGAUUUCUUAUUAUUAAAUAGACUGUACGUGAACAUAAAGUUAAAUUCAAUUAUUAAAUGAUAAAAACUCAUAAAACUCUUGUAUUGCAUUAAAAUACCUUGGAACUAUAUUCAAUUUGAUAUACAUGAUAGAAUUACUAAGGCUCUGUGUGGUGCCAAAUUGUUACAAUGCUCUUCGGUAUUCAACAGCUCACAAUCAUAAAUAUAAAAGAGCUGCCAAAAGACGAGGAGACAAGAAAACCCUUUACACAAAAAAUUAAGAUUAUCAUUGAGCUUUUCCUUCUCUUCCACACUUCUCACGUUGUUAACAUUACGGUCACGAUUUCCAAAGAACGGAAACAGAAAGGGACCCAAAAAGUAUUGAGAUAACUCUUAACCCAUCUAACUCAUCCUUGAGCUGUUUCUUCUUCCCCACCACUUUCUUUUCAAGACAGUACCAUCUUCAUUUCCAAGCUUAUGCAAAAUUACCUUUGUUUCCCUUAGUCUUGCCCCAUAAUCCUUCUUCCAAGCCUCAAACAUCUGCUUCAACCUCCUAAGCUCCCGGUCUGGAUUCAAAUUUGCAUCGACUUGACCAGAUUUUACCUCCACCAAGAACUUGCCAUCAUCACCAAAUACUUGACUCCUCUGCUCAAAUUCUUCAGACAACCGGUUUAUUACACUUAAACUGGCACUCAUUGGCCUCAGCCCAUUGCUCUCAGUUUGCUUAUGAUUACUACCCAUUUCCGAGCUGUAGUCUCUGUCAUCACUUGCAUUUACUGAUGCAUCAGAGUUUCUUCCAGAAUCAUCAAUGACUAGGCUCUUCUUUGCAAUGGAGAUGCUAGAUUGUAGGGAUCUCAUUUGCUUCUGCCACACUUCUUCCAUGGAUUUCAUUUUCAACUCAUAUUCAGACCAGCGACUCUCAUACUGUUGGAGACGCUGGUUAAGGAUAUCAUUCUCCUCUUCUUUUUCUCUUAGAGCAGCCUCGGCCUUGAGAACUCGGCGCUGCAAUUCAGCAAGGAAAGAAGACUUCACCAGCACCUCGUCUGACUCGUUAGCCUGUUUCGGAUUCAUACUUGUAAACUCUUGAAUUAAGAAAGAAACAUGGGGUACUCCAAAAAGCAUUUCAUGCAAAGUCUUAUAUUAUACUAGAACACCAUCAAGAGCCAAGUUGUCCAUACAAGAUUAGCAAACAUUUUUAUGCGGAGAGUAGUGAUUCCAUGUGAUUUUCUUUCUUAGGGAUAAAAAAUUGAUCCACAUAAAUGGGAUCUUAAUAUCAAGUAUUUCCUUUGGUGAACAACAUGGUAGCAUAAAGGGAGAUAAAGAAUGGCAAA